rnacentral:rRNA from 1 species
CCGUUUACGGGGGGGAACGCGAAGAACCUUACCUACUCUUGACAUCCAGAGAAUUCGCUAGAGAUAGCUUAGUGCCUUCGGGAACUCUGAGACAGGUGCUGCAUGGCUGUCGUCAGCUCGUGUUGUGAAAUGUUGGGUUAAGUCCCGCAACGAGCGCAACCCUUAUCCUUUGUUGCCAGCACGUAAUGGUGGGAACUCAAAGGAGACUGCCGGUGAUAAACCGGAGGAAGGUGGGGAUGACGUCAAGUCAUCAUGGCCCUUACGAGUAGGGCUACACACGUGCUACAAUGGCGUAUACAAAGAGAAGCGAACUCGCGAGAGCAAGCGGACCUCAUAAAGUACGUCGUAGUCCGGAUCGGAGUCUGCAACUCGACUCCGUGAAGUCGGAAUCGCUAGUAAUCGUAGAUCAGAAUGCAUGCCCU